AAAGGAAUAGACGGGGGCCCGCACAAGCAGCGGAGCAUGUGGUUUAAUUCGAAGCAACGCGAAGAACCUUACCAGGACUUGACAUCAUCUGACAGGCCAAGAGAUUGGUCCUUCCCUUCGGGGACAGGUAGACAGGUGGUGCAUGGUUGUCGUCAGCUCGUGUCGUGAGAUGUUGGGUUAAGUCCCGCAACGAGCGCAACCCCUGUAUUUAGUUGCCAUCAGGUAGAGCUGGGCACUCUAACUAGACUGCCGUAGAUAAUACGGAGGAAGGUGGGGAUGACGUCAAAUCAUCAUGCCCCUUAUGUCCUGGGCUACACACGUGCUACAAUGGUCUGUACAACGGGUAGCUAAGCCGCAAGGUGGAGCCAAUCCCAAAAAACAGAUCCCAGUUCGGAUUGCAGGCUGCAACUCGCCUGCAUGAAGUCGGAGUUGCUAGUAAUCGCGGAUCAGCAUGCCGCGGUGAAUGCGUUCCCGGGCCUUGUACACACCGCCCGU
rnacentral:rRNA from 1 species